AGAGAACGUUGGCGGCGUGGAUUAGGCAUGCAAGUCGAGCGGAAAGGCCCCGCAAGGGGUACUCGAGCGGCGUAAGGGAUAGUAACACGUGGGUAACCUACCUCCGGGACUGGGAUAGCUGCGGGAAACUGCAGGUAAUACCGGAUAACGUCCCCGGACCAAAGGUGUGAUUCCGCCCGGAGAGGGGCCCGCGCCCUAUUAGCUAGUUGGCAGGGUAAAGGCCUACCAAGGCUAAGAUGGGUAGGGGGUGUGAGAGCAUGACCCCCAUCACUGGGACUGAGACACUGCCCAGACACCUACGGGUGGCUGCAGUCGAGAAUCUUCGGCAAUGGGCGCAAGCCUGACCGAGCGACGCCGCGUGCGGGAUGAAGGCCCUCGGGUUGCAAACCGCUGUCAGAGGGAAAGAAAUGCCAUGGGGUUCUCUUCAUGGUUUGACUGACCCUCAGAGGAAGUACGGGCUAAGUUCGUGCCAGCAGCCGCGGUAACAC
rnacentral:rRNA from 1 species